UGGGGAGUGGUCUAAGGGUAGGACAGCAGAUUCUGGAUCUGCUUAUUGGGGUUCGAAUCCCUGCUCCCCAG
rnacentral:tRNA from 2 species